GGCGCUAUAGCUAAGUGGUUAAAGCGACAGAUUAGAAUCUACUGCGAGUUCUUUGGAAAUAACUAUAUCUGUUCCUCUUUGAGGGCGCAGGUUCAAAUCCUGCUGGCGUCG